rnacentral:rRNA from 1 species
GAAGCCUUCGGGCUUAGUGGCGCACGGGUGCGUAACGCGUGGGAAUCUGCCCUUGGGUUCGGAAUAACAGUGAGAAAUUACUGCUAAUACCGGAUGAUGUCGAAAGACCAAAGAUUUAUCGCCCGAGGAUGAGCCCGCGUAGGAUUAGCUAGUUGGUGAGGUAAGAGCUCACCAAGGCGACGAUCCUUAGCUGGUCUGAGAGGAUGAUCAGCCACACUGGGACUGAGACACGGCCCAGACUCCUACGGGAGGCAGCAGUGGGGAAUAUUGGACAAUGGGCGAAAGCCUGAUCCAGCAAUGCCGCGUGAGUGAUGAAGGCCUUAGGGUUGUAAAGCUCUUUUACCCGGGAUGAUAAUGACAGUACCGGGAGAAUAAGCCCCGGCUAACUCCGUGCCAGCAGCC